CCAGUUCCACAGGAGUCUGUGGGUUGAGGGCUUCCUCACUCGCCGUACCCAGACGCUCAGUCCUCCCGGAGUCCGUUCUCUGUCGCUGAGAACUUCUUGGAUCGAGGGUCCAUCCUUACCGCUGCCACCAGUUAUUGCAUCUCGCCGCUGAGGUGUGGGAGUUGGCCGUGAGUGAUGCGGACGUA
rnacentral:lncRNA from 1 species